UCGUCAGAAGGUUAAUCCUUACCUGUUCCUCCUCUGGAGGGCAGAAAGAAAAUGAUGAUUGGAGCUAACAUGAUCUGCUGAUUAGCAUUUCCGUGUGGCCAGGACCUAACAACAUCCUGGUUGCUCCUUUCUGAU